rnacentral:snRNA from 1 species
GGAUGUAAGGGCGAUCUGGCUGCGACAUCUAUUACCCCAUUGAUCGCAAGGGUUGAUUCGGUUGAUCUGGCUGGCUGUGCGGUGUUCCCUUCCUCCCUCACUGCUCCAUGUGCGUUCCUCCCAAAGCUAUGCAUUAGGUCAAAGAGGACAGGCCUUCCAGGAAAAAACUGGCCUACCUACUGA